CUGAAUAGGAACAGCUCCAGUCUGCAGCUCCCAGUGAGACCAACGCAACAGGUCCCAUCCAGACCUCUGAAGUUGAACAAGGUAAGGUGGCUCAUGCCUGUAAUCCCAGCACUUUCGGAGGCCAAGGCAAGCAGAUCCCUUGAACCCAGGAGUUCGGGACCAGCCUGGGCAACAUGACAAAACCCCAGUGAUUAAGUUUACAUCAAGAAGCAAUGAUAUGAGUAAAUCAGAAUAUCAGCUGUGUGUUGGAAUUUAUCCUACCUAAAUCCAAAUUUUAGUUCUGCAAUUCUUCUUCCAUUCAUAUAGAAGCUUCAUGAAAGCAGGGCCCAGGCAAGAGGGUCUCAACCAGGAGCAAUUUUGCUGUUUCUCUCCAGAGGACACUUGGCAAUGUCUGGGGACAGUUUUGGUUGUCACAACUGGAGACAGGGUGAUGCUAUUUGGCAUCUUGUGGGAGGAAGGCAAGGAUGCUGCUAAGCAUGCCACAAAGCACAGGACAGCUGCCCACAACAAAGGAUGAUUUGCCUGAAAUGUCAAUGUGAAGAGGCUGACAAUCUCUGGUCUAAGGUGUAUCAGUAGUACCUAAAAUAAUGCCUGGGGCCAGGAGCAGUGGCUCACGCCUAUAAUCCCAACACUCUGGGAGGCCGAGGCAGGUGGAUCACCUGAGGUCAGGAGUUCGAGACCAGCCUGACCAACAGGAAGAAACCCCAUCUCUACUAAAAAUACAAAAUUAGCCGGACAUGGUGGCACAUGGCUGUAAUCCCAGCUACUCGGGAGGCUGAGGCUGGGGAAUCACUUGAACCCGGGAGGUGAAGGUUGCAGUGAGCCAAGAUGAUGCCAUUACACUCCAGCCUGGGCAGCAAGAGCGAAACUCCACUUCAAAAAACAAAACAAACAAACAAAAACAAUGCCUGGAAAACACUAAAGGAGGCUACGUAGUAAUCAAAGGACAGACAACGAUAAGAAGUAAUGCUGAGAUGCCUGGGACCUAUCUGACAAUGGACAAGCCUCACUCUUUCCAAUGUGAAGAGGAGAUGCCCAGGCAAAAAUGACAAUGACAAGUUCACAUGGAAAAGACUGUAAUGACAAAUUUACCUUUGCUAUUGAAAUAUAUGCUUAGCUCAGUGCUCUCAAAUAUUUGAGUGACCCAGCUAAUUGGCCUUAUUCUGACUGAAUCUUAAGAAACUCCCUGGUUCUAUUUCCCUUUCUAUGGAGAGUAUCCUUGUAACACUUACAUUUAUCACUACAGAAUUUAAUAAACUGCUUUGGGGUUUCAUAAGCUGGGAUAAUACAAAUGUACCUCUGAGAAAGAACUGUGUCUGUCUCUGCCCCAAAUCAAUAGGUCCAGGUCCUGCACUCUAACGCUCAGAGGAAAUGCUGCUAGAUGCCAGACUGUGGUGGUGAGGGUGACAGUGCUUUGUGGAGUGGGGACUAAGAGCUAAGCAAAUUUUUAGCCUAAUAGUAUCUGAGAGCCAAACGGAAUAGGCUUUAAUUAACUAACUUGCCAUAUUUACACAUGUAAGAAAUUCACUCAUUUAUAUAUAUUCUCCUUUUGGGUACUUUCCCAUCCAGUUCUGGGGAAGAAAUAGAUAUAUUUUUCCCAUAAUUUUCCCAUUUGGGCAGCAUGUUUCAGGCAGCAACAGUGGCUUUACACUUCUGAAGGAUCUGAUAAGAACUGUGAAGGGGGCAAUGAACUGCACUUAAUUAAAUCCUGGUUGCUAAAAGUAAAUAGCAGAGUAUGCCACUGACAGCAACAGACUGGCCCUGAAACAAAUUAUAUGUAGGGCUGAAGAUAUACCUAGUUUCUUUGCUCUUGGCACAACAUUAGGACAUAAUUCCAUCCAUUUCCUUUCUCUUGGAACAAUUAGGGAGCAAAUAUCAGCAAUUACGCAAGCAAGGUAUUAUAUAAGUACAGCAUUUAUUUAUUUAGAAACUCAGCCUUUUUGGAGGGUAUUAAGCAACUGGCAGGUGCCAACAAUUUUAUUCUCUCUUCUCUGGGGUCCUUUCAGAAGAAAUACCCUGGAAGUUCCAAUCAAUGACAGAGUCUCCUAUUAAGCAUCCAUUGAGCAUCAAUAUCUCCUACAGCAUUUCAAAACUGUCAGCAAACAGAUUACUAAAUUCAUUUUAACCAACACCUAUUAUCUGAAUUUUAUUCUGAAUAUUCUUACGGCAUAGUCACAAUUUUGGAUUCUGUAACUCAAUGACCUAAAAGCUGUAGGUCAGAAGGGAGAUGCUUUAAAAUAAGACAAAACAAGGCAAACUUAGAAAGAAGCAUUCUGUAUGGUUCUGUUCCUCAAAGGGUGAUCCAUGGGCUCCUGGGAGACCCUGAGACUCUUUCAGGGUAUCCAUAAAAUCAAUACACUCUUCAUCAUAAUGCUAACAUGUUACCAGCUUUAUUCACUGUGUUACCAUUUGCACUGAUGGUGCAAGAACAAUGAUGAGUAAAACUUUCAGCACCUCCACAAGAAUUGAGAGAGUUCUCUCAGACUUCACUAGUAAUUUUUAACUACAGGUUUUUUAAAAGUUUGUUUUACUUCAGGGUGUCCUUGAUGAAACAUUAAAAAUUACUAAUUUUCAGCCCAGCACUGUGGGAUUACAGUUUAUGCCUGUAAUCCUAGCACUUUGGGAGGCCGAGGCAGGAGGAUCACUUGAGGUCAGGAGUUCGAGACCAGCCUGAUCAAUGUGGUGAAACCCUGUCUCUACUAAAAAUACAAAAAUUAACUGGGCAUGGUGGCUGAGGCAGGAGAAUUGCUUGAACCCCGCAGGUGGAGGCUGCAGUGAGCUGAGAUCAUGCCGCUGCACUCCAGCCUGGGUGACAGAGUGAGACUUUGUCUCAAAAAAAAUUAAUUUUCUUAAAUAUCACCCUCAAAUAUAUGUCUUUUUAACAUUUUGUGUGAUGAAAUGGAAAGUAUACAUAAAGACUUGCUGCACACUGAAGAAUAUAUUGUGUGCACACACGUGAAACAUCUGUGCAACUGAUUGUGAGCUAGGCUACAUGUGUUUUUGUGGAACAUCAUUUUAAGUGAAAGAAGACUGACAGACAAACUAUGGUUAUUCAAUCUUGGAUAUUUCACAGGUUUUUUUUUUUAAUUGAAAAAAAAGAAUUAAGCUGUCACUUCAAGUAAAACAAAUGACAGUAUUUGUUGCCAGUGAUAAAAUUGGAGCUUUCUAGCAAAAAUUAGAAUUUUGGAAAACUUGCCUUUGUCUCCAUGAGCAUGACAGCUUCCCAGUACCUAAAAGACUUUUGAUUGAGAUAAAAGAUUGGUGAGAUCAAUGGUUAUAUUAACAAAAUUCGUGUUUUUGUUAUCGUUAAGUAAAAUGGGUCAAUAUUUGGAAGGCCUACGUAAGAUCUGUAAACCAAUAUCCUCCAAAUGAUCAAUGCAUGAUGUUAUAAAAUCAUACCUAAGUUAAGGAUAUAUAUGAAGUAUGAGACAGAUAAUGGAUUUUAAUGUAAUAAAUUAUGCAAAGUUUAUUAAUAUGAUUUAAGAUUCUACACUGCAACUCACCUUUAAGAAACAAUCACAUGUUCAAUGUAAGCUAGUACAGCUGUUAUGAAAAACAGUGUGGAGGUUCCUAUUAAAUAUAGAACUGCCAUAUGAUCCAGCAAUCCCACUAGUGGGUAUUUAUUCAAAGGAAAUGAAAUCUGUAGGUCAAAGAAAUAUCUGCAUUCCCAUAUUAAUUGCAGCAUUAUUUAAAACAGUUAAGAUGGGGAAUUAACCUAAGUGCACAUCCACAGAUAAGGGGAUUAAAAGUGUGUCAUAUAUACACAAUAGAAUACUAUUCAGCCUUUAAAAAGAAGGAAAUCUUGUCAUUUGCAACAACAUGGAUGAACCUGAGGGACAUUAUACUAAGUGAAAUAAGCCAGGCCCAGAGAGACAAAUACCACAUGAUCUCAAAUGUGGAAUCUAAAAAAGUUUAAUUCACAGAAAUGUAGAAUAGAAUGGUGGUUAGCAGAGGUUAGGGUGGGGAGUGGGGGGAUAUUGGUUGAAGGAUACAUUUCAGUUAGGAGGAAUAAAUCAUAAUGCUAACAUGUUACCAGAUUUAUUCACUGUGUUACCAUUUGCACUGAUGAUGCAAGAAUAAUGGUGAGUAAAAUUUUCAGCACAACGCAGUGACUAUAGUUAAUAACAAUGUAUUGUAUUCUCGAAAAUUGCUAAGAUAAUAGAUUUUAAGUGUUUUCACUACAAAAAAGGAGGUAGUGCAUAUGUUAGCUCAAUUUAGCCAUUCCACAAUGUCUACAUAUUUCAAAACAACAUUUUGUAUAUAGUAUACAAUUUAUAUUUGUUAAUUAAAUUUUUUUUAAAAGAAACAACCACUUUUUGAGUUUAGGUGCUAUAUAAAAGAAUAUCCACAAUUUUCUGAAAAGGCUAUGAAAAUGCUCUUGCCUUUUCUGACUACAUAUAUGUGUGAGACUGGAUUUUCUUCACAUACUUCAACCAAAACAACAUAUUGUAACAGAUCAAAUGCAGAAGCAAUUACGAGAAUUCAACAGUUCUUUAUUAAGCCAGACGUUAAAGAGAUUUGCAAAAAUGUGAAAACAUGCUGUCUUUCUUACUAAAUUUUUG
rnacentral:lncRNA from 10 species